GGGGCUGUAGCUCAGCUGGGAGAGCACCUGCUUUGCAAGCAGGGGUUCAGCGGUUCUACACUCAUCAAGCCGAACGCUGGUCCGCCGGCCCCUCCA
rnacentral:tRNA from 1 species